UAUUGCACAAUGGGGGAAACCCUGAUGCAGCAACGCCGCGUGAGUGAAGAAGUAUUUCGGUAUGUAAAGCUCUAUCAGCAGGGAAGAGAAUGACGGUACCUGACUAAGAAGCCCCGGCUAACUACGUGCCAGCAGCCGCGGUAAUACGUAGGGGGCGAGCGUUAUCCGGAGUUACGGGGUGUAAAGGGAGCGUAGACGGUUCUGCAAGUCUGAAGUGAAAGCCCGUGGGUUAACCGCGGAGCGGCUUUGGAAACUGUGGAACUGGAGUGCUGGAGAGGCAGGCGGAAUUCCUAGUGUGGCGGUGAAAUGCGUAGAUAUUAGGAGAAACACCAGUGGCGAAGGCGGCUUGCUGGACAGUAACUGACGUUGAGGCUCGAAAGCGUGGGGAGCAAA
rnacentral:rRNA from 1 species